GCCCCAGCAGGAGGCUUAGGGUGGAGGGGAGGGGAGGCCCUUCAGCCUGGGGUUUUAAAACCAGCUGAAGCAGGGCAACUUUCAGGACUAGUCUUGAGCAGUUUAUAUUUUAUAAAAUAGUCUUUAUAUUAUUUUUCCAUUAGAAACGAAUCAGUUUUGCAAGAUAAAAGGUUCUGGAGAUCUGUUGCAAACCAUGUGAAUAUACUAAUGCUACUGAAUUGUACACUUAACGAUGGUUAAGAUGGGACUUUUUAACCCUAAUUUUUAAAAAAAGGCUGGGGGAGUCACAACCAAGCUUCACAAAAAUUGGAAAGGCUGAAAAGUGACAAAAGACAACAUCCAAUCCCCCACAUUAGGCAAAAUAGAAAUUGAUCUAAGUGAUCAUGUGAUUUAAAAGGUAAUUGCGUGUGUGUGUGUGUGUGUGUGUGUGUGUGUGUGUGUGUAAUAGAGAAAUGUUCUGGUCCCAGACUCCAGUUGGACAUGACAUCACCCUACAGGUGUCAAAAUUGAGCUUCUCGUCUGCCCAGGUCUGCACCAACCACAUUACCAUGGCCUCAGUAAGCGCCGCCCGUGACCAGAUUGUCCAGGUGUGCCACAUUCGGGAAUCCUACCCCCUGGAUCAGAUUGUAAAUCCCUGAGGUUGGCGACCAGACUUCCUGUACGUUGUCCAUAAUACUCAGCAGAGUGCGUGCUGUGCAACUGCGCCUGGUGAGUGACUGCGAGUGAGGAAAUAGAAUGGCAGAGCAUCUGCAGGGCAGAAGGACUUCCCUCUCUGAAAGGAGGACCCAGGAUAUUGCGGUGGGAAACAAAGAGAAAGGUAAAGGGUGUUUACUUCCAAGCACUGAUGGAUGCCUGCUGUGCGCCACGCCCCUUCCAGGCUGUGUGCUUGGAUCAUGGAACAGCACCCGCCAGCUCAGGAGGGCCAGGACGAGGUGGGUCGAGACGAGACAUUUAUUGAGCAUCUUCUGUGUGGAGAGGCUGGGUGCUGGCCGGUGACGGGAUGGUGUCAAGAGAAGGCGGCUGCAUGGAAAACAGGUUUGCAGUAGCCUGAAAAAGCCAAGGGCAGCGCUGAGCUCUCACAGACUCAUUGCAGGAUACGAUGUAACCUAAUUAGCUACACCAUUGAAUUAAUGUUGUUAAUUUGAAUUUAGUGGCUUUUUUCCAGUUUGGUUUAUAUUUAUAAUGUAAAUUUUUAAAAUAGUUGUAUAGAUGCUAUCAGCAUAAAGCGUUCA